rnacentral:rRNA from 1 species
UCGUAACAGGUUUCCGUAGGUGAACCUGCGGAAGGAUCAU